rnacentral:tRNA from 1 species
GGGGAUUUAGCUCAGUGGUAGAGCGCUUGCUUAGCAAGUGCAAGGCCCUGAGUUCGAUCCCCAGCUCCG